rnacentral:lncRNA from 1 species
UUACACACUCCAAAAGGAAAAAGAGAGAGAGAAGGGUUAAAAAAAAAUACUCACACAAUUAUUUCUGGAUGUUAGGAGUAGGUUGUGUGUGUGUGUUGGGUGGGGGUUGGGCAGCGGGGAGGUUGGGGAGAUGACACUGAAAACAUUUCCUGAAUCAACAUUUAACAGUCUUGUUGUUAAAAUUCUUUUUGGGCAUUCUGUCACAGGAGUUUUGCCCCAUCUCACUGACUCUUCUCAUUCCUCUAUUUCUUACUUCCUCCCACUCAGAUUGCCUUAGAAACUGAAAUAGUUUUUCUCCUCACCUUUGUAGACAGCAAUAUAGCUUUUUGCUAACUCUUACUGUCAAGCUUUCCCACACAAACCAUUCAGCCAAGCCCAAAGGGCUGCUAUGCAACUUGUGACAUUUGUUAUUAACCAUAGAGACCAUAAACAUUAAAAAUAUUUUUCUCUUACACUUUUCCUGAUUUUAUGACUUCUUGCUAUCUUUCAGUAGUCCCAGGGAUGUAGCCCUUAAGUACAGUCUGUCAAUUCUUUUAUGAAGAUGUAAGAAUACCCUUCCAAAGUCAAGGUUUAUUCAUCCCAAGACUCUGCCUGCCCUUUAGGGAGGAGAACCAUCAGAGGAGAGCCAGUGCAGAUCCCAGAUCUGGCCUCUGUCUUCUCCAGUCACAACCCGCCUUGGCUGUUUGGUGGAAGAGGUCACCCUGCUGCAUAAAGUGUAAUUUUGAGAAGAAAUGCUGCUGCUCGCUGGUGCCUUGUUUGCCUAAAAAAUAUUUAACUCACAGAAAAAAAUAUCUGGGAACUCGCAAUGUGUUCCAGAAGAAUCUUUCAACAGAGCAAUGCAACUGCAAGGUUGUCAAGACAAAUGGAAACAGAUAAGAAUGAGUCAAUGUGGUAUUUAAGCAAGUUAGAAUUAGAAAGUGAGGAUGGAUUCAUAGUGGCUAUAUAUCUCUUCAAUUGAUUUAAUAAAUACAUCUGCAGAAUUUAUAAAAAAGGAUGUUUUAUCCAGCAGUCCUAUUGUUAACCUUAGGACUUUCCAAUCCCUAGCUUUCUGAUCAUAUAUUUUUUUCAAUUUGGGAAUUAGAACAG